rnacentral:lncRNA from 1 species
GCUUAACUGACAUAAAUUCUCACUCUGACUCUCUGUGAAUGGAAGAUAACUGUUUGACACAGCACAGAUGUCUACUGUUGCCUCUGUUCUAAUCUAAUAACGGAUCAAGGGAGAAAAUGAUGGAACGCCUCUUCCUGCCUCCCUUUUCAGGAGGGGAUGACUCCACGUCACCUGGUUGGUAAUACCAGAGGUGCCUCCGACAAGAAGCUGAGAGUGUUGCCAGGCCUUGUGAAUGGAAAAGAUAGUGCCUGUCCUGGGGAGGGUGGGGAGCAGAGUGGCAAUUCUUUGUGUCACCCCUCAAAGGACUCACAGUUUAUGAACUAAUUUACUAUUAAAUAGUAGUGGGAGAAACUCUUGUCUGCCACCCCUGACUGGUUCGUCACUGCUC